rnacentral:rRNA from 1 species
CCUACGGGUGGCAGCAGUGAGGAAUAUUGGUCAAUGGACGAGAGUCUGAACCAGCCAAGUAGCGUGAAGGAUGACUGCCCUAUGGGUUGUAAACUUCUUUUAUAUGGGAAUAAAAUGUUCCACGUGUGGGAUUUUGUAUGUACCAUAUGAAUAAGGCUCGGCUAACUCCGUGCCAGCAGCCGCGGUAAUACGGAGGAUCCGAGCGUUAUCCGGAUUUAUUGGGUUUAACGGGAGCGUAGGUGGAUUGUUAAGUCAGUUGUGAAAGUUUGCGGCUCAACCGGAAAAUUGCAGUUGAAACUGGCAGUCUUGAGUACAGGAGAGGCGGGCGGAAUUCGUGGUGUAGCGGUGAAAUGCGUAGAUAUCACGAAGAACUCCGAUUGCGAAGGCAGUUCACUGGACUGCAACUGACACUGAGGCGCGAAAGUGUGGGUAUCAAACAGGAUUAGAUACCCCAGUAGUC